GACGAACGCUGGCGGCGUGCUUAACACAUGCAAGUCGAACGGAAAGGCCCUGCUUUUGCGGGGUGCUCGAGUGGCGAACGGGUGAGUAACACGUGAGUAACCUGCCCUUGACUUUGGGAUAACUUCAGGAAACUGGGGCUAAUACCGGAUAGGAGCUCCUGCUGCAUGGUGGGGUUUGGAAAGCUUCGGCGGUUGGGGAUGGACUCGCGGCUUAUCAGCUUGUUGGUGGGGUAGUGGCCUACCAAGGCUUUGACGGGUAGCCGGCCUGAGAGGGUGACCGGCCACAUUGGGACUGAGAUACGGCCCAGACUCCUACGGGAGGCAGCAGUGGGGAAUAUUGCACAAUGGGCGGAAGCCUGAUGCAGCAACGCCGCGUGCGGGAUGACGGCCUUCGGGUUGUAAACCGCUUUCGCCUGUGACGAAGCGUGAGUGACGGUAAUGGGUAAAGAAGCACCGGCUAACUACGUG
rnacentral:rRNA from 1 species